AUACAGUUAAAGAUUUCUAACUGGAUUGACAUUUUAAAUUGGCAGUGUUGUGAAGGAGAAGGCCACUAGCACCUGGUGGGAAGAAGCCUGGGCGCUACAGACUGACCAUCCUACAGCACACACACAGGGAAGCUCACCUAAGAGCUGACUAGCUCCGUCAAACACUACAGGCCACACAGACUGACCAUCCUACAGCACACACACAGGCAAGCUCACCUAAGAGCUGACUAGCUCCGUCAAACACUACAGGCCACACAGACUGACCAUCCUACAGCACACACACAGGCAAGCUCAACUAAGAGCUGACUAGCUCUGUCAAACACUAUAGGCCAGAGACACUGUGUGCAUUCUUGUUUGUGUGUCAGUCUUAAAGAAGAGCUGAUAUCUGAGUUCCACGUUAGGCAGAUUUCCAGCUUUGUGAUUCACACAGUCUUUGUCACAUAGCUCUUGUCACCAUGUAUGACAUGUAGAAGAGAUUAAAGUAGAGUUAAUCUGGCUAUGAGUAGGGCAUUGCCAGUGUGGGAACUCCAAGGAGCACGUCUUUUAAAAUCCCCAUGCUAAUUCCUGGUGUCUCCCUUGUCUUUAGGCUCAAAGGAGUUGUUUGUUUAUUUGUUUGUUUGGUUGGUUGGUUUUAAUACUAAGUAUGUAUUCAGUACCACCUUUUUAAAUCUUGUCCGUCACCUUAUUGAAAAAUAACUUUUGGCACCAUGCCAUAUAAUUUCCUUUCUUCUGGUUUCAAUGUGACCAGCUUUUGAUGGUUUUUCUAAUUUUUUGUCAUCAGUGAAAUACUUAGGAAAUGGAAUCCCCUGUAGAGACAUAUGGGGCCGCACAGACACCUGGUGUGUUAGACAAAGACCCGAUGGUUCUUCUCCCAGCCCAGUUCUGCUGUCAUCAUGGACAGACCCCAUCCCUGGCCAUGCUUCUGUGGGGACUUUGAUGGCCUCACGGCUUGAAAGGCUUGAAAACUGCUCUCCUGGGGUAGAGCUUGCAUUCAGGGCCAUGCACACUCACCAUCCACCUCCUGAAACUACUCCUGCUAUCGUAGCUCAACUGCCUCCCAACUCCUCAGUCCCUGUGUUAGUCACCUGCCACAAAUUUCCGAUUAAAGAGAACUGUGACCUUUAUCGAGGAGCAGUAUUGCUAACAAUGGCUCCCACUCGGAAAUCACUGUCAGUUCUCUUCCCCUCCCACUCCAUUGCAGUUCUCAGCCUUUGUGGUUCUGCCUUUCUGUUGGCUACAUCCUCACCCUGAAAUAGCCCUAGCCCUAACUCAGCACUGCUGUUCUAGGAGAGCCUAGAGAAAAAGGACACUUCACCCUUCCUGCUACCAGACAUGGCUCUUGCACCACUGGUAUACGUCAUGUGCCUUUCCUAAAUCAAGGACAGUUAAACACAGAGCAGUACUAAGGACAUUUCAUGUUCCAGACUUAGACAUUGAAAUCAAACGGCCAACAUUUAGUGUUGUGUGUCAGCAACUGUGACUUGUUGGGUGUGUCACUUACCAGGUGUUGUCUGCUAACCGUCUUGGACUUUCUAAAGUGGCCCCAGAUAGAUGCUUGUGCAGUCAUUAUCCCUGCUGAGAAGGUUCCAUUAAAAGACCUGCUUGGAAGACUCUGUGCCAACAACUACAAGCUGCAGACAUGUUCACUGGGAGCUGGUUACAUUCAUGCAUUCACUUAUUACAUCAAAUCAGUAUAGAGGGGCCAGUAUGGAAAUACCAAAACAGCUCGUACUUUCUUCAUAAGGAAGGUUAUCAGUGCAUACUUAGGUUUUUUAUUCCGUUCAUUUAUGCUUCAAGGCAUUUGCAUCUUUCAUUGUUAUCCAAGACCCAAAGUGGAAUAAAACCUCUAACAUAAAUUUAUCCUUCUC
rnacentral:lncRNA from 1 species